rnacentral:rRNA from 1 species
GUGGGGGGGUCGGAAGAUUCUACUCGCUAGUAGUUGACCUCGGAAGGGUUAUGAUGACUAUAUAAUAAUCAGACAUAGUUCGCUAAGGUUGUAUGUCUAAAGGGAAACAGCCAGAACAAGAGUUAAUAAGGUUCCAAAAUUAUUGUUAAGUGAAAAUAAGGAAGUUUGCAUCCAAUUCAGCCAGGAGAUAGGCUUAGAUGCGGCCAUUUUUUAAAGACCUCGUAACAGAGCACUGGUUCAGUAAAUUAUUUUUAUAAUUUCUAGUGAUAAUAGCACCAAAAAUUUAACGGAUCUAAACAAUAUACCGAGACCUUGUCCAUAUUUAUCUAUAUAUCUAAGUUGUAUAUUGUAUUUAUGGGGUAGCGGAACAUUGGGCAAAUCUAAGAUUUUUUCUUUAAAAGACUUAAGAUAAGAUAACCCAAGUGAUAAUGCUGACAUGAGUAACGAUAAAGGGAAUGAACUAUUCCCUCGCCUAAAACUUAUGGUAUUUACUUAAAGUAACGGCCUCUAAGUUUAUGAACCUAAAGGACUAAACGAUGAGAAAAUCUACCACCCGCUCAUUUAAUUCAUUCCUUCUGGGAAAUUAAGUUAAAACAAAUAACCUUUGUGCAUAGACUAUAUCUAGGUAUUUACUUUGGGGACGGUACCUAGAUAUUUUUUUGUGUUAAAGUGACAAGGGUUCUGGAUAAGUUAGGAGUAAAGUGGUGCAUCAUGCAUAAUAUAGGGA